UCGAACUGCAACGAUAACGGUCUGACGUCACUGCUGCCUGACGUCGUUGCUAGGCAGAGUGACUUGCGACCGUUCCAUUGCACUGAAUAAGGAGACAUGGAAUAUAUAGUUCAGCAAACACGGGUCACAUCUGUGUUUCUGUCUGGAUUAAAAUUGGUAAGCAGCAACAAUGUUUUUUGUGUUUGUGCCUUCAACACUGGGGAAGUUAAUAAUCAUUUUUUUAAUUUAGGAUAAAAUACGAUUUUCAUUUUUCCCGUCACCAAUGAUACCGUUCAUCACCACAAACAAAUCUGUGUUGCUGUUGGUACUAAAACCGUUAACGUCUCUGUGCUUAUAAAUCAUAAAACGUGAACAUGAAAGUGCCCCUGUGUAGUGUUACUUAUUAUACAAUUAAGAUUAAAUGAAACUGGUAGAGAUGUGACCUCUAGCAUGUUUUUAGUACAGCAAUUGGGAGCAACGACACUGUACGUACUGAGGUCCACAUUUAGCGAAGUUUAACAAUAACAAAAUGUUGGUUGACAACAAGACAAAUGAUAACAUGCUGCUGUUUACAGUUUUUAAAAGAAUAUUCCAAAAUGAAAAUGAUUUUGUAAAGACAUGCUUGUAUUUUAUGUUUCUUCCUACCAAAAAUGACUUACUUGGAAUAUUACCAUUGCUGAGUUAGAAAAACAAACAUACUGCUCCGUAUCGCCAGAUUUAUAUAGCGCCAUUUUAAAAUUCAGACAUGGAAUUAAUUAUCCCCUAUAUUGCUUAUUAGUUUAUUAAAAUGAUAGGAUAUUGCACUUCUAGACAUUGUGUGCAUGUGUUAUUUGUGUAUUAUUUAUUAUAUUUGUAUAUUAUUUGUAUAUUAAUAUCUGUAUUAUAUUUGCUGUAUUAUAGCAUUCUGCAUAGCACCAGAUUUAUAUAUAGUGCCAUUUUAAAAUUCAAACAUGGAAUUAAUUAUCCCCCAUAUUGUUUAUUAAAAUGAUAUGAUAUUGCAAUUAAUACAGCACUUACCAAUUUCAAGCAUGGCAGAGUUGUAAUUGAUAGGAAAACAUUUUAAACUCUGGCAAUUGUGUUCCACAAAGAAAACCAUCAGCCAUGGUCACUAUGUUGCCUGGGUGCAAAAAGAUGGGCAAUAGUUUCAAUGUAAUGAUACGCAAUGCACACAAUGCAUCAGACUGCCUAAAAACCUGCAUGAUUCUUACAUGAUCUUUCUAAAGAGAGUUGACAAAGCCAUACAACAUGAAUAACUGCCCUCAGCACUAAUGUUCAAAUUUGUCCCCACCUCUCCAGCCUCAGGGGCAGCCGUUGCUGUCCCCACCUCUUCAGCCUCACAUUUGAUUUAGAUUCAAUAAAUCUGGCUUAAAAAAAAAAUACAUACUUGGUGCAUGUCUCUUUCUUCUGUGCUAUUUAGUGUCUCAAGUUGUGUUUUCACCACUAAAUUAUGUGGCAGAUGUGGUUGUUUGAUUUUCCAGGAUGCCUUCUGCAAAACAAUGGAAAUUCAAUGGCAAAAACUUUGUUAAAGUAACGUUAAGGUUUGGUUGCAAGUUAAGGUAGCCACCCAACCUUAACUCUGCACCCUUAUGUCUAUGUUUCCCGUCACACUUGUCAUCACAUAUGACAUCAUCUAUGACAUCGGCAAUGACAUCACUAAGCACAUGACAAAUUCUCCCCAAAGAUGGCUAUACGGACAUAACACUGGGAAAUCAUAGUCCUUGUGAUUGGUAAGCAUAGAGCAAGACUGGCGAUUGGAUGAGUGGUUAGGAAGGGGAGUAUAAAAGGGGAGGCUGGGGAACCAGGAAGGAGAGGGUCUUUCUUUACUGGAAGUGCGAGACAGGGCAUUGCGAGUUGUUGGGGAACAGUGUUGUGUUGGAAUUACUUUCGGACAGAAGAAGGAAUCAGAAGGGAUUGAAGGAAUACUAACUGGAGCUUUUGACCACAGAUUGCUUUGGACAUCGGGACUUUACUGGAGCUCAGUCAGGCGGGUCUGCCUGAGGGGGAUGCUACCUGGAAGGAGAGGAAGAGAGGCAGUGAUACAGCUAUUGUUGGAAGGCUGAACGUUUCCGAGUUACUUGCCUGGGCGCGCAGUAAAUCCAUUCCUUAAGCAGAGGCUGCUCGGGCCCCGGAGGAGGCCAGUUUGGGAGUGCUGGCCAAAACCUGGAAAGAUCACGAAAGGGAGUAGAGUUUCUUUUUAUUCUUUUGAAAGUCUGUUUUUGGUUAGUUAGCUAAAAAAAGAGAAAUUUACAAAUACUUACCCUCCAUUGAGUUGUUCCAUGUGCAUUGUUUCAAGGCACUGCUGGGGUAGCCGAUGUUGGAAGUACUUACUGGUUACAGUAUCCAGGGGGCAGCGGCGGACUCCUCUAGGCUACGAGAGAGAGAUGGAGACAUGCAGGGGUCAAAGACAGGCCAAAGGGAAGUAAAACUGUAAUAGAGCGAUUGUGAUUUACUUACCUGUACUCCUUGUCCCUGAAAGCCGGUCUGUGUCCUUUCCCAGGUUUCCUGGGAUCUCCCCUCCAUGUUUGACGUGGAGGAGACAUCGCCUGACGGGUCCAGCGCCUCCUGGAGGACGUCUAUCUGGGCGGUGGCGACUGUAGACAAUCCAUCUUUUCUUUUUCUUUUGCAGCCUUUUUGGCAGCUAACUGUGGACUGUAUUUUUCUUAUUGAACUUUUUUUUUUUUUUUUUUUUUAGCUAUAGAAUACUUUUUGUGUGUGCUUUUACCCACGGGAGGGGAACUCCUUUGUUCAUUUUUAGUGUUUUUAUUGUGUGGGAGUAUUCCUUGUGUGUGUGCUUUUAAAAAGAAAAUCAUUUUUACCCUGUGGAUAAUUAAUAAAGUUUGUUUUAUUAAUUUUA